rnacentral:misc_RNA from 1 species
AAGUCGUAACAAGGUUACCGUUGGUGAACCAGCGGUAGGAUCAUUACCAUAAAACACCUUAUCAUACCAAAACAACCCCUUCGGCCGGCUGGUGCAUGCGCAUUUCUGAUGUGCGUGUCUUCCGCGGCCGUGUGAACGUGCAGACGCCGUGCCUCGUGCCUCUUUUCUUUGAAAAGGGCGCGUUGCAUGGACCAUUUGCCCCGCUCUUUCAGACGGGGCAAGUGCAUCUACUUUUACAAACGACAUUUUUGUAACACGUCAUGUGCACUGAAAAACACUACUCUGUUUGCUCGCGCAAGCAGGGAAACAACAACAAAACAAUACAAAACAACUUUUAACGGUGGAUCUCUAGGCUCGU